rnacentral:rRNA from 1 species
UACGUAGGGGGCUAGCGUUGUCCGGAAUCAUUGGGCGUAAAGCGCGUGUAGGCGGUCCGGUAAGUCCGCUGUGAAAGUCGGGGGCUCAACCCUCGGAUGCCGGUGGAUACUGUCGGGCUUGAGUACGGAAGAGGCGAGUGGAAUUCCUGGUGUAGCGGUGAAAUGCGCAGAUAUCAGAAGGAACACCAAUUGCGAAGGCAGCUCGCUGGGACGUUACUGACGCUGAGACGCGAAAGCGUGGGGAGCAAACAGG